rnacentral:rRNA from 1 species
CAGCCGUAAACAAUGUGCGUUAGGUGUGUCGGUAACCACGCGUUACUGAUGCGCCGAAGAGAAAUCGUGAAACGCACCACCUGGGAAGUACGGUCGCAAGGCUGAAGCUUAAAGGAAUUGGCGGGGGAGCACCACAACAGGUGGAGCCUGCGGUUUAAUUGGAUUCAACGCCGGACAUCUCACCGGAUAAAGACAGCUGAAUGAUUGUCAAUCUGAAGGUUUUACAUGACUAGCUGAGAGGAGGUGCAUGGCGUCAGUGACU